rnacentral:rRNA from 1 species
GUGUCAGCAGCCGCGGUAAAACCAGCACCUCAAGUGGUCAGGAUGAUUAUUGGGCCUAAAGCAUCCGUAGCCUGCUCUGUAAGUUUUCGGUUAAAUCUGUACGCUCAACGUACAGGCUGCCGGGAAUACUGCAAAGCUAGGGAGUGGGAGAGGUAGACGGUACUCGGGAGGAAGUGGUAAAAUGCUUUGAUCUCUCGAUGACCACCUGUGGCGAAGGCGGUCUACCAGAACACGUCCGACGGUGAGGGAUGAAAGCUGGGGGAGCAAACCGGAUUAGAUACCCGGGUAGUCCCAGCUGUAAACUAUGUAAACUCAGUGAUGCAUUGGCUUGUGGCCAAUGCAGUGUUGCAGGGAAGCCGUUAAGUUUACCGCCUGGGAAGUACGUACGCAAGUAUGAAACUUAAAGGAAUUGGCGGGGGAGCACCACAAGGGGUGAAGCCUGCGGUUCAAUUGGAGUCAACGCCAGAAAUCUUACCCGGAGAGACAGCAGAAUGAAGGUCAAGCUGAAGACUUUACCAGACAAGCUGAGAGGUGGUGCAUGGCCGUCGCCAGCUCGUGCCGUGAGAUGUCCUGUUAAGUCAGGUAACGAGCGAGAUCCCUGCCUCUAGUUGCCACCAUUACUCUCAGGAGUAGUGGGGCGAAUUAGCGGGACCGCCGCAGUUAAUGCGGAGGAAGGAAGGGGCCACGGCAGGUCAGUAUGCCCCGAAACUCUGGGGCCACACGCGGGCUGCAAUGGUAAUGACAAUAGGUUCCAAAUCCGAAAGGAGGAGGUAAUCCCUAAACAUUACCACAGUUAUGACUGAGGGCUGCAACUCGCCCUCACGAAUAUGGAAUCCCUAGUAACUGCGUGUCAUUAUCGCGCGGUGAAUACGUCCCUGCUCCUUGCACACACCGCCCGUC